UUUCCUUUUCCUAUACAGUUGAUUUUGCAUCUAUUUCCUGCAAUUAGUGGCAGAUCUAUUGUAGGCCUAGAGUAGAAUGUUUCCAUUUUCUUUCCCUUGUACCCAUAUACAUAGGCUAUAAAGCCGUCUAAUUUAACAUACUAGCAUGAUCAAGAAAUCACUCUCAGUUCAUGUUAUCAGAAUGUUGUGCUUGGUAAUUCUCAGUCAUCCAGCCAUAAUUGUUGGCAUGAAUAGCAAUUUUCAAUCCUCAAUUGCCAAGCUAUCCUUGGUCUCUCUUUUUGGCCUUUAUGAUGGAUCAGACACGAGGAUUGAAAUUCAAGAUGACAAAAUCUGCCUCUACC
rnacentral:lncRNA from 1 species